rnacentral:rRNA from 1 species
UGAGGAAUAUUGGGCAAUGCCCGCAAGGGUGACCCAGCAACGCCGCGUGGAGGAUGAAUGUCGUAAGAUUGUAAACUCCUGUUAGAGGGGAAGAAUAGUACCGGUUGGACCGGUAUAUGACUGUACCCUCAGAGAAAGCCCCGGCUAACUAUGUGCCAGCAGCCGCGGUAAUACGUAGGGGGCAAGCGUUGUCCGGAUUUACUGGGUGUAAAGGGCGCGCAGGCGGGAUAAAAAGUCAGUGGUGAAAUCCUACAGCUUAACUGUAGAACUGCCUUUGAUACUUUUAUUCUUGAGUUCGGGAGAGAGAGACGGAAUUCCAGGUGUAGGGGUGAAAUACGUAGAUAUCUGGAAGAACACCAGUUGCGAAGGCGGUCUCUUGGUCCGACACUGACGCUGAGGCGCGAAAGCGUGGGGAGCAAA